GGAGUUAAGUAUGCAUGCAUUAAACCUAGGUUAUAUAUGUUCUACAAGUGUUGUGUGCUUUUUGUAUUAAGAAAUCUCAUCUUUCCUAGAUGCCAAUAUCUGUUAAAGGAAAUUGCCACGACUAUAUUAAAUAUAAAUAUGACACGUUACUUAAAAAAUAUAUCUUUGGUUAAACGCUUCACCGGCCCCACCUGCAACACGAAGCACCCCAGGGUGUCAGGGGAUUACGCAGAAUGAAAGAUGGUGAUGUGCCCUCGGUGUGAACAGAGGGCUGGGCUAAAACAAGAGCUAUUCCUCUAACCGUAAACCACACCUUCCAACCGAGCAACUACAGCCAACAGGAAGAACUCCUUGUUCUUCUGUGCUCUUUAGGAUGUCCAGCACUGUCUUAUCCAUCCUGGUGACCUUUGUGUGUCUUGCACCGAUACUGGAGGUCAACAGCACACUGGAUGACCGAAAGAAGAAGAUUCAAGCUGUGGAAUUGGAGUUCAAUUCCCUGAAGGACUACUACAAUACCCGGAAGGAAGCCGUCGCUGAAGAGUUCAAAGAGAUUGAAAGUGAAAUGGACGCUUCAUCGGCCAUUUUACAACAAAGCAGUGGGCCAAAUUUUGCGGCCAGCAAGAAGAACUCUGAGACACUAAAGGAGUGGUACACUGAAACUAAAGAUACAUUUCUCCUGUUCACUGAAGUCUUUGACAACGCGUAUGUGUUCUUCCAGAAGGGAAUCGAGGAAGUCAAAGACCUUGUCCAUGUAAACGAGGACUACUACAAUACCCGGAAGGAAGCCGUCGCUGAAGAGUUCAAAGAGAUUGAAAGAGAACUGGACGCUACAUCGGCCAUAUUACAACAAAGCAGUGGGCCACAUUUUGAGGCCAGCAAGAAGAACUCUGAGACACUGAAGGAGUGGUACACUGAAACUAAAGAUACAUUUCUCCUGUUCACUGAAGUCUUUGACAACGCGUAUGAGUUCUUCCAGAAGGGAAUCGAGGAAGUCAAAGACCUUGUCCAUGAAAACGAGGACCACUUCAAUACUCGGAUGGACGCGCUCGCAGAAGAGUUCAAAGAGAUUGAAAGAGAACUGGAAGCUUCAUUGGCCAUGUUACAUCAAGGCAGAAGGCCCAAGUUUGUGGCAAGCAAGAAUUACCUUGAGAACCUGAGGGAGUGGUACUCUGAAACUAAAGAUAAAUUUCUCCUGUUCACUGAAGUCUUUGACAACGCGUAUGAGUUCAUCCAUAAGGGAAUCGAGGGAGUCAAAGACUUUUUCCGUGAAACCGAGGGGAACAAAGAUGAAUUAUAAUCACACCUUAUUAACAUUAGCAUUAGUUAUACAGUAAUAAGCAUUAUUAUAUGGCAUUAGAAUAGGGGUGAGUGGGUUCUUCAUCGCUGAUGCGUCACUGCGUCACACACAGGAUGAUGGAGGGUGGAACCUGUUGGCCCGUGUCAGAAAGUGUCAGUCAGGGUCAGAGAGUUUAGGUUUCUGACUGCUUUAUUGGUUAGUUUUUGUGGUCAUAUUUAGGAUUAACUGAGUGAACAUCUGUUCAAAUGUCAUGAUUUUUGGGGUUUUGGGUCUUUCUUUUCACAAUAUCUCUUCUGUCUGAGUUUGUAUACAGAUCUUGUAAACUCUCCCUAAUUACUGGUAAAUAUACGAAUAGAUAAAUGUUUUUGUCAUAUCUUGGUAUUCUCAUUUGUUUGGAGUAUUAUUUUUUUUUGCCUUGUGAAAAAGUAUAGAAGAGAAGCUGAUAUUUAUUUGGCAACAGACUUUGACAAACCGAAUGCAGGUCUCUGAACACGCCCUAGCCUUAAGAGAAAUGCAGACUCCCGUACAAACACAACAAACUAAAACAUGGGAACAAAAUAACAAGUGGAAAUCUAGUUGAACGUUCACUGAUGUGAUUAUUGUUACUAUAUUAUGCUAUUUACCAUUUUAUCGCAAAUACCAAAUAUAUAUAUGUUAAUCUCUCGCAUUUUGGUGGAGUGCAUUCGAUGUCCCAAUUUGGACAAAUGUAAACGCAAGAACAACAGAAGAAUCUUUAUAGGUUUAGGUUUAGGUGUGGUCGCUCAGUGCUUUGCAAAACCAAAACAAACAAAAGCUCUCAAUCAUUCAAAGCCGGUCUGCCUCGAUAUGGAACUACUCUGUGCUGAAGGUCUUGUGCGCAGUUCUUAGUAACUUAGUAACAACAAGCGGUAAGCAGGCCCAUAUUAACACGAUACACCCCCCCCCCCCCCCCCCCCCAAUACACACCAAAAAUAUCAGACCUAAGCAAGGGGAUUUCUUCAAUGUAAUUGACUAACUUGUCCAACCACAUACAUGUAGGCAUAUGAUCAAUGAGCAAUGUAUUCCAAUGUCUCAAUUCAAAAUGUCUAUCAAUUCAAAAAGCACAGCGCUCAAAUCAAAACAGAAAAAUCAAUUUAAUGUUUUUGACCCUUUUGAUCUACUCCUCAUAUAGGCGUGUAACUCCUUCAAUAUCUCAAGUGGCAUUUUCGUAUUUCUCACACUGAUCUCUCUGCGAUACAAGAACGCAGUGACUCCAAAAGACGUUCUGCAUUGUCUAAAGUUAUGUCGUGAUUUAUGAGUCGUGAAGGUCGAAUCAUAUAAAGUGGUUUGUCUUUGAGUUUGUGUCAGUGUGUACGUGUGCGUGUGCGUCUGUGUAGGUGAGCGUGUGUUUUGUUGAUGUGUUGCUCAAUGGGUAGUAUUACGUAUGCAUGUUUUCCAUGUUUCCAUUGUUUGAUCAUGUUUGGCAUUUCAUUUACCCAUUAUAAUAUAUAGAAAAUAGACAAUUAGAUAUAGAUAAUAUAUCAUUACUGCCAACAAAUAGCUUUGGUUAAUCAAUCUAAUGCUACGUUCAAUGCCAAAUGUUAAAUGCUAAUGCCAUAUGCUACGUGCUGUGUGUGAAAUGAAAAGUGAUAAAAAAAUAUAGUGUUAAUGCUAAAUGCAUUGUGUUACAUGUUACAGGCUUUGUGCGGUAUACUACAUUCUCUGUCCAUAAUGCUCACGAUAAACAAAAUUUUCUAAAUGUGGUCUGAUAAAUGAUAUAUGCUAAAGGCUAUGGGUUGAAUGCCAAAUGCUUUGUGCUUUAUGCUAAAUACUUUUGAUAGAUGACAUGCUAUGGGCUUUGUGCUGUUUGCUAAAUGAUCUUUCCAAAAUGCAAUCUGAUUCCGUCUGAUAAAUUAUACAUGCUAAAGGGUAUUUGUUGAAUGCUAAAUGCUUUGUGCUGUAUGCUAAAUACUUUGUGAUAGAUUAUAUGUUCUAAAUGUUAGCAGCUAAAUGCUAUGUGCUAAAUGCUUACGGGGCUAAAUGCUGUUGCUGUUACAGUUGAAAGACUGAGUCAGAUGAGAGAUGGAAACAGGUCAAAGAUCGUAAGCCAAAGAUCAAUGGCGUGUGUGUGUGUGUGAAUAAUGGCUGUCCAUUUCAGGUCACCACUUACCACAGGGGAUUACAUCAGGAGUGUGUGUGUGUGUGUGUGUGUGUGUGUGUGUGUGUGUGUGUGUGUGUGUGUGUGUGUGUGUGUGUGGACUUACACACAGCGACAGCGAGAGAGAGAGGAUGUAGCAAAUACCCAAAUAAAUGUUUUGAACUCGCACUUUUUUCUGGGUAUGAUUCAUCUGUCAGCCAAACAUAAAACUUCACACAAUCACCCAACCACCAUCUCCAACAACCCCCUUAAUUUCCUCACCCAUCUCACACACACACACACACACACACACACACACACACACACACACACACACACACACACACACACACACACACACACACACACACACACACACACACACACACACACACACAUACACACACACACACACACACACACACACACACACACACACACACACACACACAGAAGUGAUUAUGACGGUGGUCAAAGGAUUUUUCCAAUCUAUUUUCAAUGUAUUCACUUCCUCCUGGCCUCAACCAUUGACGUCACGGCCACAGAUCAAUGCACCGGCUCCAAAUCAGAUUUUGACUUCUUGCAUGUUGCAUUGAUUGAAUCAAUGCUUCCUACUUCCAACAGCGGACGCAAG
ensembl:lncRNA